rnacentral:rRNA from 1 species
UCCGUCAGAUUUAUAUCACCCUGCAGCUGUCACCUGGUUUCCUACUGAAGUUAAGCAGGGUUGAGCUUGGCCAGUACCUGGAUGGGAGACCUCCGGAGUAAAACUAGGGUUGCUGCUGGAA